rnacentral:rRNA from 1 species
GACGAACGCUGGCGGCGUGCUUAACACAUGCAAGUCGAACGGUCUCCAUCCCGUGGCAACACGGGGGAAGAGAUAGUGGCGAACGGGUGAGUAACACGUGAGAAACCUGUCCUGGUCUCUGGGGAUAACAGUCGGAAACAACUGCUAAUACCGGAUGCCGUCGGAGCGUCGCAUGGCGCGCUGACGAAAGGGGUUACUGGGAUCAGGAGGGUCUCGNGGCCUAUCAGGCUUGUUGUGGGUAACGGCCUACCAAGGCAUCGACGGGUAGCUGGUCUGAGACGGAUGAGUCAGCACACUGGGACUGAGACACGGCCCAGACUCCUACGGGAGGCAGCAGUGGGGAAUCGUUGCGCAAU